rnacentral:rRNA from 1 species
GACGAACGCUGGCGGCGUGCUUAACACAUGCAAGUCGAACGGAAAGGCCCUGCUUUUGUGGGGUGCUCGAGUGGCGAACGGGUGAGUAACACGUGAGUAACCUGCCCUUGACUUUGGGGUAACUUCAGGAAACGGGGGCUAAUACCGGAUAGGAGCUCCUGCUGCAUGGUGGGGGUUGGAAAGUUUCGGCGGUUGGGGAUGGACUCGCGGCUUAUCAGCUUGGUGGUGGGGUAGUGGCUUACCAAGGCUUUGACGGGUAGCCGGCCUGAGAGGGUGACCGGCCACAUGGGGACUGAGAUACGGCCCAGACUCCUACGGGAGGCAGCAGUGGGGAAUAUUGCACAAUGGGCGGAAGCCUGAUGCAGCAACGCCGCGUGCGGGAUGACGGCCUUCGGGUUGUAAACCGCGUUCGCCUGUGACGAAGCGUGAGUGACGGUAAUGGGUAAAGAAGCACCGGCUAACUACGUG